CAUCAGUUCAUAUGAGCGGGCUUCAAAAUGGGCUGUGAAAUAAAAACUAAAUAGCCAUUACAUUAGCCGAAGCCCAAAUCGAACAAGAAAAAAACAGAAAAAAAAACGCAACCAAUUAAAUGGCGACACGUGUCAACAAAUGCCCACCCCUAAAGAGGGACGUGGAAGGCUAAGGUGAGAGAAAAACCUGUUUUAUUAUUAUAGAUAAUGAACUAUGUGGGUAUACAAUUAAAGUAUUUUCUGAAUAUAAGAACUAUGUAGAUGGCUAAUUAAUUUGUUACCUUCAUCAUUAUAUUCUAAGUUGAUUAUCUGAACAGAAACCAUACAUACAAUCUCACGAGUAGAGAUACUCAUACUCAUAUGAGGUAUCUGGAUUACCUGGAGUAUCAAAAAGAAGAAAAAAAAGUUAACAUGUUUGACAUAUCAGUGGCUAUUAUAUAAUAAUAUAAUGAACUAUGUGGGUAUACAAUUAAAGUAUUUUGUGAAUAUAAGAACUACGUAGAUAGCUAAUUAAUUUGUUACCUUCAUCAUUAUAUUCUAAGUUGAUUAUAAGAGAAAACAUACAUACAAUCUCACGAGUAGGGAUACUCAUACUACAAAACAUUAAUGAAAUUGAAUGUUCACAUUGCCAUUGUAAGGUUAUCUCCUCGACUUCACUUGGUGGAAUGAUUAACUCUUAUCAACGCUUAGCAAAACUGAGGAAAUCAAGACUUGAGAGCAAAAUACUAUCUACAACCGUUCAUUGGAAACACAGUAAGUCAAAGAUAACUACAACAGUCAUAUCUUUUAGGAGUCUAUAAAUGAAAGCGAAGGACUUUUAUGUGAGAUUUCUACUUUUUUGCGAUAUUGAACUAUGUAUAUUGGUUUGAACGUAUAGUACACCCGCCAAAAAACGUCACACAACAUUAUAUUGCUAUAAUACGACUGCACCAUGUGUUAGCGAGUGCUUGCUAACAACAAGAAAAGAAAUGAUAGCGAUUGUUUAAACUCACUUUGAUAGUCAACUUGUUAAAUAUAGUUUCAACAAGCGGGCAGCCAAAGGCAAGUUCAAG
rnacentral:lncRNA from 1 species